GGGUUGUAAGAAAGGAGAGGUUAGCACUCCCCGUGAGAAGGAUGGAAGAGGUCCUAGUGGCCUUUACAAAACAUACGUGGUUAAGGCAUCGCCGCCUGUACCGUGGCAUCUAACCAGGUUUUUCU